rnacentral:lncRNA from 1 species
AUUUCCACUGCUGCUCUCUCAUCUGCUGCUCUGAAGCCUAAACCAUGGUGCCCAGAAUCUUCGAUGCAACUCAUGAGAAGCUGGAGGACCUGGAGAAGCUGGCAACUCAAAAAGGCCAAAGGGUGCAGACAAUAAAAGCCCCAGACAAGCGUAUAGAACCACACGCCGUCUUUUUACUUGCCGACAGGUCCACUUGGGAGCCUACAUGUCCCAGGCUUCGUGUCAGACACCAGUGAUGCAGUGCUGAGUAGAAAACGCAAAGUCAGUGUCUUCGUGACGUUCAUGACAGUGAGAGGAGAGAGAGAGAGAGAGAAGAUUCAGCCCAGUUGCACCCAAGUAAAAUAAACAGUCUUGUUGCUCACACAAAGCCUGUUGGUGGACUCUCUUCAUAUGGACUCAUGUGACAUUUGGUGCCGAAGACCUGAGACAGGAGGACUCCUUUGGGAGACCGGUCCCCUGUCCUCGCCCUCUCUCCAUGAGAUCCACCCAUGACCUCGGGUCCUCAGCCCAGCCGAAGGAACUUCUCACCAAUUUUAAAUCGGGGACGCAAAGCCAACAAGAAUGAAGAAGUGGCCAGGUAUGGUGGCUCAUGCCUGUAAUCCCAGCACUUAGGGAGGCCGAGGAGGAAGAAUUGCUUGAGGCCAGGAAUCCCAGACCAGCCUGGACAACAUGGCAAAAUCCAGUCUUUACAAAAAAAAAAUUUUUUUAAUUGCUGGGCAUGGUGGCACACACCUGUGGUCCCAACUACUUGGGAGGCUGUGGCAGGAGGAUUGCUUGAGCUCAAGAGUUCCAGGCUGCAAUUAGCUAUGAUCAGACCACUGCACUCCAGCCUGGGCAACAGAGUGAGACCCUGAAAAACAAAAAAGAAGGGAGGAAGGGGGGAAAGAAAGGAAAAAGAAAGGAAGGAAGGAAGGAAGAGGUGUGGUUGCUCACACUUGUAUCCCAGCACUUUGGGAGGCCAAUGCAGGCAGGUCACUUAAGCUCAGGAGUUCAAGACAAGCCUGGGCAACAUGACAAAACCCCAUCUGUGAUGGGAGGAGGGCAGCCAGGGCCAGUCCAGGGCUCCUGUCCUGGCCAGGCACAGUGACUCACACCUUUAAUCCCAGGACUUUGGGAGGAUGAGGAGGGAGGAUCGUUUGAACCCAAGAGUUUAAGACCAGCCUGAACAACAUGCUGAAACCCCGUCUGUCCAAAAAAUACAAAAAUUAGCUGGGCACAGUGGUGCACACCUGUGGUCCCAGCUACUCUAAAGGCUGAGGUGUGAGGAUCGCUUGAGUCUGGGAGGUUGAGGCUGCAGUGAGCUGUGAUUGAGCCACUGCCCUCCAGUCUGAGCUGACACUGAAGACAGAGACACUGAGCAGGCCAGAGAUGGGGGAGAGACUGAACAGUGCAGAAAGGAGGACAGGAGAGCCAGGAGGAGAGGCCAGCAAUGUUGAGAGAGUGAGGUUGUGAGAGGAAAAUAAAAACGAAGGGAGGAAGAAAUACAACUGUAGGGAAAGGGGGAGGUGGAUUGACUAGAGGCAGGAGGACAGACACAGAGAAUGGGGGCUCUACUCAGGGCAGAACAGGCAUGCAGCCCCCCAGGACCCACAAUCUCAUGGAGGAGACAGGACCUCACCUGUGACAAAGCCUGUUAUCUGAGGUCAGGGUCAAGGAGCACUUCUGGCCUUUCAUCUUCACCAUGAGGGACGCUGGGGGACUGAGGGACCAGGGGCAGCACUUCUCGAAGCAGACUCUGAAGGUGCAGUUCCACCCCUCUGGGUCCCAUCCGAGGGCAGGAUGGCAUUGUCAUAGUAGCAGUGCUGCAGAGGGUCACAGAACGUGUCCCCACAUCUUGCCUGUGGCUGGCACAGCAUCAGAUAAGCACCCAUGGGGGCCACUGGAGGAGACAGAGCUGGUGAGGUCCAGGUGGAAGGGCAGGUGGGUCCCAGCCUGGGAUCUCCUGGGAGCCACACCCCUCCCCCAGAUUCCCAGCCCUUCCUGGGCUCACCUGGGGGCUCCACAUGAUCAGAGAAGGCUGAGGAUGCAGAGAGACGCCAAGACAGCUGUGGGAGAAGGAAGAAGAGGAGGGCUCUGGAGGAGGCCACGAGCCAUCUUUGGGACCCCAGCCUGCGGCAGCACUGGGUCCAAGGGGGUCUCUGUCCUGACUGGAGCUCGAGGAAGGGCUAGAAGGUGAUCUGAGGUCAGGCACAGUCUCCCUGUGCUCAAGGGUCCUGGGCAAGGCCAGGGAGUGCAGGCAGGACUCUCAGAAGAAAUGGGCCUAGGGUUCAGGGCAAUGUGGUUGUUUCCUGGUGUUGGAGGAGUUCAGAGCUGGAGGCUCAGCUGGGGUCGGGCAGGGAAGGGGCUGAGCCGAGACUAGCGUUGUGCUAUGGGUGUGGCUGGCACUGACAUUUAGAAAAAGACUGGGUGGGACUGGAACCAGGGCUAGGCAUAAGUUUGGGGAGUAGUUUGGGGACUGAAACAGCUGUGGAUGGGGCUGACCCAGGGGCUGUGGAUGGGGAAUUGCUGUGAUGGAGCCAUGUCUGAGGAGGAGGCCAGGCAUGGGGACAGGGAUGAGGUGUAGUUUGGGGUGGGGAGUGAGCCUCGGUGGUGGCUGAGAUGGGAGAUGGGCUCGGGUGGGAAUGGGGUCCUGUCCUCCUUACCCAAGAUGUGGCCUCGGGAGCCAUGGCUCUGGGGUGGCUGGAGGGGAGUGAGUGGGUGAUCAGCAGGUCUCAGCAGCUCCUUGGCUCCUAUACUCCUAGAGGAGCUGGUGAUAUCGUGGGAUGCCCUGCCUUCCUGCAGAGACAUGCUGGGCCCUGGAGCGAGACAGGUCCCAGACAGGGUAUGUGUCAUGGUGGAUUUGAUGCCAGGUCCUUUGAGAGCCAGGAGAGGACCGAUGCUCCCUCCACCCUCGGUCCCUCUCUCCUCCAGAAUGGAGGCUUCUUUGGCAAAUAGGAAAUUGCAGGACACUCCUGGGGUCGUCCUCACCCUCCCACACUCACACAGCCACAAUGUUACAGCUGACCCUGUGAGUCUAGAGUCGAGACACGGACUGAGGGUUGCUCCAUGACCUGGUCCCCUUCUAGAUGUGAAUCAGUGCAAGGGCCCAGGACAGCGGAAGAGGUGUGAAGCCAUCCUGUGAUCGGGAAGCCACAGGGUGUCCAGACCCAGCGGGAGCCGAGGAUUCAGGAGAAUCUCCCCAGUCAGCUCCAGAGGUGCCCACAGUGUGAGCUCUAGUGUCUCCCAGGUAGGGGCCAAAGCGUCACCUGCCCGGCCCUGGGGGUGCAAGUGGAGUGGAUUUUACUCCUGUCCAGAAAAUGGAGUGAGACCCUGUCUCUAAAUAAAUACAUACAUUUAGACUCCUCUGUCUUUGCGUGUAUAUAAGCAAAGACAGAGGUGUUUUUAUCAGGAUUACAACAUUUUUCAUAAAAGGUUGGCACAUCAUUACAGCAAGUUGCUUAUAGGCAAUGUUUCUCUAUGAGAAGGGCACAUUUAACAUUUUUUACAAAGGGUGUAAUAGUCAUGGUUUUUCUGUUAUCUGAUCUAAGCAAGGCAGGACAACAAAGGGGAACUUAAUUGAUAACAAGGGUCAUUAAUUAACAGGGCACCACUGGGUGGACACAGUGGCAUCUGUAAUUCCAACACUUGGGGAGGCCGAGGUGAGAGGAUCGCUUGAGGUCAAGAGUUUGAGACCAGCCUGGGUAACAUGGCAAAACUCUGUCUCUACCAAAAAAUACAAAAAUUAACUUGGCAUGGUGGCACAUACCUGCAGUCCCAGCUACUUGGGAGGGUGAGGUGGGAGGAUAACUUGAACCCGGGAGGUGGAGGUUGUAGUCAGCUGAGAUCAUGCCACUGCACUCCAGCCUCUGGAACAGAGAGAGACUCAGUAUCAAAAAAAAAAAAAAGUCUUGGUCAGAUGCAGUGGCUCAUCCCUGUAAUCCCAACCCCUUUGGAGGCCAAAGCAGGAGGAUCACUUGAGGCCAGGAGUUGGAAACCAGCUUGGCCAAAAUAGCAAGACCCUGUCUCAAAACAAAAAACACUACCAAAAAAAAAAAAAAAAAAAAAAAAAAAAUAUAUAUAUAUAUAUAUAUAUAAAAUGAGGAAGCCUGGGUCUUGUUCUGUCACCCAGGCUGGAGUGCAGUGGCACAAUCUCAGCUCACUGCAAUCUCUGCUUCCCGGGGUUCAAGUGAUUCUCCUGCCUCAGCCUUCCUAGUAGCUGGGAUUGCAGGUGCCCGUGACCACGUCUGGCUGAUUUUUGCAUUUUUAGUAGAGAUGGGGCUUCACCAUAUUGUCCAGGCUGGUCUUGAAUUCCUGAUCUCAAGUGACCCACCUCCCCCGGCCUCCCAAAGUGCUGGGAUUACAGGCGUGAGCCACCGUGUCCGGCCCUUGAUUGGUUUUUGCUUGCAUUGUCCCUGGUGAAGCCAUUGAAAAGCUUUACUGCUUUCUGCAGCAGAAUGGGAUCAGACCCAAUGAGUGAUGAAAGUUAAAAUAAACAAAGUCAGAAGACUCUAAACCCAAGCGCUUGUGCCAGAGGCAGCCUCUGGGUGCCUGGCUGAUACCACAGGAGGUUUCUAACAAAGAGAUUGACAGCCUUUCCACAUCUGAUAUCUGGUACCAGGCAGAGAGAGGCCCUUGCAGACCGUGGAGUCAACGCCUCACUGGGUAUUUUGGAUAUUAAAGACAACAUAGACUCCAUCUGGGCAUUCUGGUGGUCCCCCUGCACCAGAUAACCAGAGACAUAGCUGCUUUCCAGGGACCCCCAGUGGGGGUCCAGGGAGUACAAUGCACUCCAGGCCCUACCUCAGGCAGUUACUCAGGCCCCUGUGUCCCGUAGAGCCCAGCUCCCCAUUUGAAUGACAAGUUUCAGUGCUAGGAGAUGAGGAAGACUGGAAUCUGACCAAAAGGAAAAGCCAUCAGAGUCUGAUGACCGCAAAGUUUCUGGACUUCUAGGCUCCCAGAAAUGGCCACUCAUCAUGCACCUUUUCUGAAGGAGCUAUUAACAUGUUGUUGGGCUCUGGUGGAAACAGAGAGGCUGAGCCAACACACUGUGGUAAUACUCUGACCAGAAAUACCCAUCUCUUCCUGAACUGAUAGCAGCCUAGACCCGAGAGCGGUGUCUGCUGGACAGAGCAGCAUCAUUACAUCGAAGGGAGACAUCCAAGAUAGAAUAAAAUAGAACAGUUACAAUAUAUUGUAACAGUUACCACAUAGUGCAGCUGUAAGUUUUGCAGUUUGAGGUAGGACACAAAGCUAGUGCAAAUUUCUGUUUCUUCCUGCUCAAUUUCAGGUACAGCAGAUUCAUUCUUACCAUAGAUCUUAGCAACCUCAGCCCAUUUUUUUUUCUUUCCUUAUUAAGUGGAGAAUUUUCAUCUUUUUACUGAAAGGAAGCACUUUACAGUUUCUGUUUGGCAUAUCUGAAUUGCCAGCAUCACUACUCUUGCAGUUUGGGGCCAUUACAAAGUAAAAUAAAGGUUUUAUUUUACGAUAAAGAAAGCCCUCUUGAGAAACUUUCACAAACACUGCAAUAGCAUGACAGUUGAUCUGAUAACUGAGACAGCUACUGGAGACUACUGAGCCGGUAGCAUCUACAGUGUCAAUAUGCUGCACGAAGGAUGACUCACCAGCGGGGCAGGACAGAGCGGGACGACACGGCAUUUCACAAUCAGUGUGACACGCAACUUUAAAAUUUAUGAACUGUUUUUUCUUUGUUUUGUGUUUUGUUUUUGUUCUUUUGAGACAGAGUCUUGCUCUGUCCCCCAGGCUGGAGUGCAGUGACACGAUCUUGGCUCACUGCAACUUCCACCUCUCGGGUUCAAGUGAUUCUCCUGCCUCAGCCUCCCAAGUAGCUGGGAUCACAGACACAUGCCACAGCACCCGGCUAAUUUUUGUAAUUUUUUAGUAGAGAUAGGAUUUCACCAUGUUUUCCAGGCUGGUCUCGAACUCCUGACCUCAAGUGAUCCACCCACCUUGGCCUCCCAAAGUACUGGGAUUACAGGCAUGAGCCACCAUGCCUGGCCUCUGAUAUUUUCAUUUAAUAUUUUCAGAUCACAGUUGAUCAUGGGUAACUGAAACCUACGCCAAAGUGAAAGUGGAGAUAAGAGGGAAUUACUAUACCACAAUAAUACUCAGCCACUAGAAAGGCUGGGAUGACUCCAUGCUUUGUUCUUCAAAAAUACUUCAAAUAAUUCUAUUUAAAAAGCAAAAGAGACCGGGUGCAGUGGCUCACACCUGUAAUCCCAGAACUUUGGGAGGCCGAGGUGGGUGGAUCACAAGAUCAGGAGUUCGAGACUAGCCUGGUCAACAUGGUGAAACCCCUGUCUCUACUAAAAAUACAAAAGUUAGCCCGGCAUGGUGGUGGGCACCUGUAGUCCCAGCUACUUGGGAGGCUGAGGCAGGAGAAUUGCUUGAACCCAGGAGGUGGAGGUUGCAGUGAGCUGAGAUCAUGCCACUGCACUCCAGCCUGGGUGACAGAGCGAGACUCCAUUUCAAAAAAAAAAAAAAGCAAAAGAAUGAGGCAUUUAUGUAAAGUUAUAACAAACAAAAUAUUUUCAGAAAAGCAAUUCCACAAUGUUUAAUGUAAUUUGAGCAUCGAGCAUUCUUCAUAACUCUUUACAAUUAUUGAUUCAUCUUGUCUGGGUUUCAUCAUCAUUUUACAAAUGAGGAAACUGAAACACAGAGUGGCUUCAUAACUCACCCACAGUCACAGUCAGUGGGGCAAGGUCAGGGUUUGACCUGGGAGCGCUAGCCACAGGGCACCUGCACCCCAGCCCCUGCUGCCCACUGUUGUGUCCCUGUGGGUGUGCUCUUCUAGGCACGUUUGGAACCCUGAGUUCUCACCAGAGAGGACAGUGAAUCACUCCAAGGAGAAAGACAAGGGCUUAGAGUGGAAAAGGAGCUUUGGUUUUCACUUUAUUGCUGUGCUGAUGAAGUUUUAAAAGAACACCUCUCACAUGUAUAAAAUAAUGGAAAACAAGCUAUGCCAAGAAGAAAAGUAUGAAUCAAAAAUUCAAUGAUUACAAAUAAAAUAGUAAAUAAGAUUACAAAAGAAAAUCAGAUACUUUUAGUCAAACUAUGUAAAAAUCCCAUAUUUUACAAAAAGAGUAAUCAAAUGAUGGGGGGAGAAGAGAGCUAAUAUUUAAUGAAAUUAUGGUGGUCACUGUGAGACAAAGUAACAAACAUGAGAAGCCGGUUUGCUCAUUUCUGCUUCCCAGCAUAAUUUCACAAGGCCCCUGAGUCUGUGAUGACCUGCGGCUCUCCAAAAACAUGCUUUCUUUUGGAGAAAAAAAGGAGAGAGAAAAGGGCCCUCAUGUCUCUUGCCCUCCCUGUUCCUUGCAGGUGGUGAGAUUGAGAACUCAAUCCAAAGUAUGACAUAAAGACACACCUCAGAGCUCAGAGCUUUCUUUCCCAGGAUGCACCUAUCCACUCUGGCAACGUUUACUUGUUCCCACCACCACCUAGUCCUGUCCACCUUCCUUCAUCCUCAUCCUCACUUCCUGAUCUUCUCUUUAGCCCAGCUCAGGUUGAGGCCAAACUUGAAUCUGACCCUCACCCCGCCCUGGGAGGGAAAAUUCAGUGAGGAAUAGCAUUCCUUCCAGUGAGGCAUACCCUGGAGUCUACAUCGGCCUCCCAACCCCAAAUCAGUCUCUUUUCUCCUCUCCCUCCCAUUAUGGCCCUGCGUCUUCCCUUUCUGGGCUGAGUUUUGUAGUAUCUGUUUUCUGUGGGCUCUUGAAAUUAUACUAGAAGUAUGAUUUUUCCUUUAUUAAUUCUAUAUUUAAUAACUUUUUUGUUAAAUUUAGAAAGGAAGGUGAGAUAUCUCUAACAUAUCUAGAAUGAAGUCUUUCUUGACAUGCCUCAGAAAAACAUACCUGCUUCUCCCCCACUUUGAGGUCCAGUCCAUUGAGAAAUGCUGGCAUUGUGGGGAUGGUGCAUACUGAGGGGCCUGAGGGGAGAUGGAGCUUGGACUGGAGGCUCAAUCAUUCCUGGUGUUCCUAGCACCACAGAUGACUCAGCGGGACUCCCGAAUAGUCAACCCUUCUUCUGAGGGCGAGGGCCAGAGUCUCAGGGAUUGUCUUUUCUGAAUUUUUCUUUUUGAUGGUAAAAAGAUCCAGGUCCGUGAUUUUGCAGAAUACCCUAAAGCCACAUGCAUUUUUGGUCUCUUCAAAGUCAACCCCCACCCCCCAUGGGGGAAGGAAUGAUGCAAGGCUCUUUGCCCCACAGGAGAGGGUUGGGGGAUUACCAGGGGGCGUGAUAAAUAUCCUCAGCCUUGGCAAAGAGGGCUGGGAGGGUCUGUGGUAGGCUGCAGAUACAGUCCUGAUUAUCUCUCCUUCCUCAUUCACACACUUGCAAAAUAUGACUUUACGUCUAUUAAGAUUUGGUAUCCAUGUCCCCAUUCCCUUGACUGUCUGCACCCUGUGGAAUUUGUGGUCUAUAGGACACUGUGGAGUGAUCGAUCAUGUGCCAGUUUUGAGUUAAGACUUUGCUCAAGGACUCUGGUACUUCCACUUUCUCAGGAAAUUAAAGCAAUGUGAACACCCUCUGGCCAGCCUGUUGGAGGGUGAGAGACCACAUGGAGGAGACAGAGCCCUGAUGUCCCAGCUGAGGACAUCCCAGAAAAGCCUAUUUCCAGACAACUGAGGACAGGUGAAUGAGUUCUUUGUAGAUGAACCAGAAUCCAGUCUAUCUACCUGCUGAGCACAGACAUGUGAGCAACCCCCCCAUCAAGGUCAACUGAGCCUGGCCCAGAUCAACAGAAUCACGAGAUGACCUAUGGACUCAGGAGCAAUCAUGAUGUGGUUGUUCCAUGACACUGAAUGUAGAGGUCGUUGAUUCUGCAGCACCAGCAAACUGACACAUAACACCGUGUUUAAUAUUGGGUUCUGGGCUUUGGGGUCCCUGCAGAGUUCCUGAUUUCAGCCCCAAGGGCUCAUUCACAAAUUUAUUACUCAGAUUCUACCCUGUCAACCCAGGACGUGUUACUUACACAUUUCCCAGUGUGGGCAGCAAGCCACCCAGGUGCCGAGGCAAGAGACCGAGGGCACAAGCUGUUCCAGUAUAAUAAAGAAAACAUAUAAAAUAAGAAUAGUUAUACUAGAUAUAGAUCGUAGAUAUGAUUAUAUAUGAAUAUUACUAAUCAUUAGUCUGUAGCAAUUACUCUUUAUUCCAUUAUAAUAAUAAUCUUCUCUCUACAAUUAUAACUUAAGAGAAACCAGGCCAUACAGAGAUAGGAGCUGAACGGACACAGUGAGAAAUGACCAGAAGACAAGAGUGUGAGCCUUCUAUUAUGCCCCGACAGGGCCACUAGAGGGCUCCUUAGUCUAGCGUUAAUGCCAGUGCCCGGGAAGAUGCCCGUUACCUAGCCGACUUUGGUCUAGCGGUAGCGUCAGUGCCCAGGAAAAGCACCCACUACUUAGCAGACUGGGAAAAGGAGUGUCCCUUUCCCCGGGGGAGUUAGAGAAGACUCUGCUCCACCACCUCUUGUGGAGGGCCUGACAUCCGUCAGGCCUGCCCGCAGUUAUCCAGAGGCCUGUCUCCCUGUGAUGCUGUGCUUCAGAGCAGUCACGCUCCUGGUCCGCUUACAUGUUCCAUCCUGUACACCUGGCUCUGCCUUCUAGGUAGUAGCAGAAUUAGUGAAAGUACUAAAAGUCUCUGAAAUGCAAAAAUAAAGGCAUAAGCUGUCUCCUUUCUCUCCACCUCAGCUGCCAAACAGGGAAGGGCCGCCUGUCCAGUGGAUACAUGACCCACAUGACCUUACCUAUCAUUGGAGAUGGCUCACACUGCUCACCCUGCCCCCUUGUCUUGUAUCCAAUAAAUAACAGCGCAGCCUGGCAUUCGGGGCCACUACUGGUCACUGUGUCUUGGUGGUAGUGGUUCCCCGGGCCCAGCUGUUUUUUCUUUUAUCUCUUGGUCUUGUGUCUUUAUUUCUAUGAUCUCUCGUCUCCGCACAUGGGGAGAAAAACCCACAGACCCUGUAGGGCUGGUCCCUACAUCCCAGGACUCUCUAUCCCACUGUGGAAGACUUCGCAGUUGCCUGCCAUGCUCCCACAAAGAGCUGGCCACCUGCCCCAGGAUGAAUGGGGGCUCUGUCCGAGUUGCUAAAGGUGUGCCUCUGGCCAUAUGCUGGGAGGCAAAUGAGCUGUCAGGCAAGGGUAGGAAAUAUGUGGGCAUCAGAGGACAAACAAGGAGUGAGGUGCCUCCCACCAGCCAUACAUCUGAAGUGCUGUCAGAUGGCCAUAGGGGCCAGCUGGGUAUGGGUCCCCAACAACCAGGAAGGACACUGAGCAUCUGAAAACCAUUGGUCAUGGAACACAGAACCCACGGGGAACACUAUGGGUUCACAAAGACCCAGGAGGUCUAUUGUAAGCCUCAGUAUAGAGAGAGGAACACACUGAGCUUCUGAUCACCCAUUAUCAAGGCUGUGCUGCUUUAUGUUGAUAGUCCAAAAUUAUCCUGCAUGGGAGUUGGUCCACACAAAUUAUAAUCACAAAGGCAAUAUAGAGGAGAGUGGGGGGGGCGGUCACAGGAAUGAGCGUCACGGUGGCUGGGGAUGGACCUUUCACUUAGCUGAUCAUGUGCAAACAGCAAGAUUCAUGAUGAACUGCUCCACCACAAAACAAAUAAAUGGGUGUCUACAGUACACACACUGGGCCCCCCACUAACCCUGAC